AUUGAACGCUGGCGGCAGGCCUAACACAUGCAAGUCGAGCGGAUGAAGGGAGCUUGCUCCUGGUUUCAGCGUCGGACGGGUGAGUAAUGCCUAUGAAUCUGCCUGGUAGUGGUGGAUAACGUCCCGAAACGGGCGCUAAUACCGCAUACGUCCUGAGGGAGAAAGUGGGGGAUCUUCGGACCUCACUCUAUCAGAUGAGCCUAGGUCGGAUUAGCUAGUUGGUGGGGUAAAGGCCUACCAAGGCGACGAUCCGUAACUGGUCUGUGAGGAUGAUCAGUCACACUGGAACUGAGACACGGUCCAGACUCCUAAGGGAGGCAGAAGUGGGGACUAUUGGCAAAGGGGCGAAAGCCUGAUCCAGCCAUGCAGCGUGUGUGAAGAAGGUCUUCGGAUUGUAAAGCACUUUAAGUGGGGAGGAAGGGCAGUAAGUUAAUACCUUGCUGUUUUGACGUUACCAACAGAAUAAGCACCGGCUAACUUCGUG
rnacentral:rRNA from 1 species